UACGUAGGGUGCGAGCGUUAAUCGGAAUACUGGGCGUAAAGCGUGCGCAGGCGGUGAUGUAAGACAGUUGUGAAAUCCCCGGGCUCAACCUGGGGAACUGCAUCUGUGACUGCAUCGCUGGAGUGCGGCAGAGGGGGAUGGAAUUCCGCGUGUAGCAGUGAAAAUGCGUAGAUAUGCGGAGGAACACCGAUGGCGAAGGCAAUCCCCUGGGCCUGCACUGACGCUCAUGCACGAAGCGUGGGAGCAA
rnacentral:rRNA from 1 species